rnacentral:rRNA from 1 species
AGCGGCAGGCCUAACACAUGCAAGUCGAGGGGCAGCGCAAAGAUAGUUUACUAUUUUGGCGGCGACCGGCGCACGGGUGAGUAACGCGUAUGCAACCUACCUUAUACAGGAGUAUAGCCCGAAGAAAUUCGGAUUAAUCCUCCAUAGUAUUCUUUAAUGGCAUCAUUUGAAGAAUUAAAGCUUCGGCGGUAUAAGAUGGGCAUGCGUCCUAUUAGCUAGAUGGUAAGGUAAUGGCUUACCAUGGCAACGAUAGGUAGGGGGCCUGAGAGGGUGAUCCCCCACACUGGUACUGAGACACGGACCAGACUCCUACGGGAGGCAGCAGUGAGGAAUAUUGGGCAAUGGGCGCAAGCCUGACCCAGCCAUGCCGCGUGCAGGAAGAAUGCCCUAUGGGUUGUAAACUGCUUUUAUUUAGGAAUAAACCCCUUUACGUGUAGAGGGCUGAAUGUACUAAACGAAUAAGCACCGGCUAACUCCGUGCCAGCAGCCGCGGUAAUACGGAGGGUGCAAGCGUUAUCCGGAAUCAUUGGGUUUAAAGGGUCCGCAGGCGGAUGUAUAAGUCAGUGGUGAAAUCCUGCAGCUUAACUGCAGAACUGCCAUUGAUACUGUACAUCUUGAAUUCGGUCGAAGUGGGCGGAAUGUGUAGUGUAGCGGUGAAAUGCAUAGAUAUUACACAGAACACCGAUAGCGAAGGCAGCUCACUAGGCCUGGAUUGACGCUCAGGGACGAAAGCGUGGGGAUCAAACAGGAUUAGAUACCCUGGUAGUCCACGCUGUAAACGAUGAUUACUCGUUUUCGGCGAUAUACAGUCGGAGACUAAGCGAAAGUGAUAAGUAAUCCACCUGGGGAGUAC